rnacentral:misc_RNA from 1 species
CAAAACAACAGAAGAAACAAUGUACAUGCAAAAUAUACAUAAAAACCAAGGUGAAAAAUAGAUAAUAGAUGCCAAACAUUAAUUAAUCCAAGUCAAACGUAUAGUUUGUACAAGAACAGGAGAAGAUUCGCUGGCAAAAGCCUUUGUUCAUUAUGAUACUCAAUUGACUUUUCAGGAAGGGAUUGCAUAGGAAUUUCCAAUGAUAGAACUUCUCCAGAAUUCCAAUCUGUUAAAAUCUGGGGUCUCAAACUAGAACCUCUGGCUCAUUCAGGCUUCCUGUGUAAUUUACUUUACACCGUUCAGGAAACUGCAAGCCAGCCUCAUCACAACCUGACUUUGUAACAUGUGGGCAGGAUCUCACAUCAAGGUAUUCUAAAGUGUUGCACUUCUCCAAAAGCAAGCCUAUACCAGUCACUGUUAUCUUUGGACAGUUGCUAACUUUAAAAACCUUCAGCCUCAAUUCAGUUUCUACAGUUCCUAAACCUUGAAAAACAGCAUCUGUAACCUCCUCACAGCAUCCAAUGUCAAGAGCCUCUAGAUUUCUGCACUCAGUGAGGAUACAGCUUAAUGAAGAGUCGGAGAUAUUUAAACACCAGUCCAUACGCAAAUUCUUUAAACUAUUUUUACAGGCCAAGGCCAAUGAUUUUAUAGACUUAUCAGAGAUGUCUCGACAGCCACCAAUGAUAAGGGUUUCAAGAUUAUUGCAAAAUUUGGCUAAGGAAGAUAUAGAUUCAUCCCCAACUUUGGAGCAAUCCAACAACUUCAGUGUCUUGAGACAAGAUGAACAUGCCUUUGAAAGAUCGGAAAUUCCAGUGUCCCCAACUUUGCUGCAUUUAUUGAUGUCUAAGUACUGGAUUCGCUGGCAACCACUAACGAGAUCUGUGAGCCCGUGGUCAGUUAUAUUGGUGCAUCCUUGAAGGCCCAACUCUUGUAGAUCAGGACAGUUCUUAGAGAGAGCUCUUAACAAACCAUCCGUAACAAAUCUGCAUCCAGCAAGAUGUAGGCUAAAUAGAUCUCUACAACCCUCAGCAACAGAUGACAAACCCUUGUCUGUUAGCUUUCUGCAACAUGAUACAUCCAAUGACUGUAGAGAAGAAAGACUACAUCCAAUUGACCGCAUUCCACUAUCCGUAAUACCGUUACAAUUCCGCAAAUUGAGAAGCCUCAAGCAUUUGAACCCAUUAGCAAUGACCGAAAGAUCAGAGUCAGUAACCCCAGGAUAAAAGGACCUGGAAAUUGACUGAGAAAGGUCCAAUUCAAUCAAACGAGAGAACCUAGCAGCCAUCUUCUGAAGCAUGUGAGGUCCUGCCCGAGCAGCAAGUUUCUUCCUUUCAGUGCUCUGCAAGCGGAGCCAUCUCUUGCAUACCAACCCAAAUAUCUCCUUAUCCUUGUCGCACUCCAGCUUGGACAGAAUCGACCGCAGCUCGUCAUCUGUCAGCAUCUCGUUUAUGCAAAUUGAAGAAGCCAUAGAACUAUGAAUCUGUUAAUGAGAAGCAAUUGAGGA